ACGCUGGCGGCAGGUUUAACACAUGCAGGUCGAGCGGGGGAAGUUAGCUUGCUACCGGACCUAGCGGCGGACGGGUGAGUAAUGCUUAGGAAUCUGCCUAUUAGUGGGGGACAACAUCUCGAAAGGGAUGCUAAUACCGCAUACGUCUUACGGGAGAAAGCAGGGGAUCUUCGGACCUUGCGCUAAUAGAUGAGCCUAAGUCGGAUUAGCUAGUUGGUGGGGUAAAGGCCUACCAAGGCGACGAUCUGUAGCGGGUCUGAGAGGAUGAUCCGCCACACUGGGACUGAGACACGGCCCAGACUCUUACGGGAGGCAGCAGUGGGGAAUAUUGGACAAUGGGGGGAACCCUGAUCCAGCCAUGCCGCGUGUGUGAAGAAGGCCUUAUGGUUGUAAAGCACUUUAAGCGAGGAGGAGGCUACUCUAGUUAAUACCUAGAGAUAGUGGACGUUACUCGCAGAAUAAGCACCGGCUAACUCUGUGCCAGCAGCCGCGGUAAUACAGAGGGUGCGAGCGUUAAUCGGAUUUACUGGGCGUAAAGCGUGCGUAGGCGGCUUAUUAAGUCGGAUGUGAAAUCCCCGAGCUUAACUUGGGAAUUGCAUUCGAUACUGGUGAGCUAGAGUAUGGGAGAGGAUGGUAGAAUUCCAGGUGUAGCGGUGAAAUGCGUAGAGAUCUGGAGGAAUACCGAUGGCGAAGGCAGCCAUCUGGCCUAAUACUGACGCUGAGGUACGAAAGCAUGGGGAGCAAACAGGAUUAGAUACCCUGGUAGUCCAUGCCGUAAACGAUGUCUACUAGCCGUUGGGGCCUUUGAGGCUUUAGUGGCGCAGCUAACGCGAUAAGUAGACCGCCUGGGGAGUACGGUCGCAAGACUAAAACUCAAAUGAAUUGACGGGGGCCCGCACAAGCGGUGGAGCAUGUGGUUUAAUUCGAUGCAACGCGAAGAACCUUACCUGGCCUUGACAUACUAGAAACUUUCCAGAGAUGGAUUGGUGCCUUCGGGAAUCUAGAUACAGGUGCUGCAUGGCUGUCGUCAGCUC
rnacentral:rRNA from 1 species